AAAAUUUUUGCUUCCUCUUCCUUCAGCAUUACCUUCUGCUGGCCUAGAGGCCUUAGUUCCAGAGGGAAGAAUGCUGCUGCCAAGAGACACAACAAAGAUUCCAUUAAACUGGAGGUUAAGAUUGCCACCUGGCAACUUUGGGCUCCUCCUACUCUAAGUCAACAGGCUAAGAAGGGCAUUACAGUGCUGGCUGGGGCGAUUGACCUGGACUAUCAAGAUGAAGUCAGUUUACUACUCCACAACAGAGGUGCUCUCGGGCCUUCAGCCACAGACUGAAGCCUGCACUGUUUGCUUCUCUGCUUUUGAGAUUUUGAGAUUCAGAUUGGCUUCCUUGCUCCUCACCUUGCAGACAGCCUAUCGUGGGACUUCACCUUGUGAUCGUUGCCUGAUCCAGAAUAUACAAAAUAUACUGAAUGAUUAAACCACAGGAAGAGCAACAAGCAAUGCAGACAUCUUCAAAUGCAGCUCAUCGUUUGGUCAUAUCCAAUUGUAACUGCUCAGAUUUAUCAUACGGAUAGUUUAGCCUUUCUAGAAUUUCCCUAUUAAUGUAUUUUCUUCUUAUUACAUCUAAGUGAAAAAUUACAGUCACUCACUGUUAUAAUUCUGUCUAGCUUCUGAAAUCAUUAUAGUUUUGAGUUAAAUCUCUUCUCCCUUUCUGACUGCAUAAUGAAGCAUUGGGUCAUCAGAUUAUGGUAAUGCAAAAUAAAAGAUUUGUAUGAUUUAAGAAGUGGUAUCAUAUAUUUACUUAUAGCAUUAGGUAUAUUUGGUCAUUUAAAAAUGCAUUAGCUAAUCAGAAUCUAUUGCCUUGCUAAAAAUCUAUGUUUCAACUUCAUUUUCUUUGCUAUAAAUUGUUUAAGUUUUCCAUUGGGCAUGAUUAUUGUUGAUCUCAAUCUGCACAACUCUAAAAUACUGAGAAUACAGUAGUUUCAGAUAGCCUAUAUAUUUGCUGCAAAUUAAGUUUAAAGUGUUACUAACGUAGUGAUUCUUUGUAGCUAAGGCUACAUUUAAAUGCUCAUCUUAAGCCAAAGUUAUUCUGCAGUUCAAUUUAAUAUUUUAAAUUACUCCUUUUGAAUUUGACCAUGUGACAUUUAUUAGGACAGUUGCUCAUUUGUGUUCUGCGGAAAAAUAAUAUUUUAAAUACUUCUUGUACAUUGUCCUGCUUCCAAAGUACAAUAGAUUCUCUUAAGAUGUGGUUAUCAUUUGGAGCUGGGCUAUGUAAUCUUUUUCUCCUUUUUCAUCACACCUCACCUCAAUUUAUAAAAUCAGAAUAAAACAUGUUGUUUAUUAUCAUUCAGUGUAAUUCUUAUAACUUCCAUCUUCUAUAUAUGCAUAGUGUUAAAACAAACCAACAUGAGAUUUGAGAAAAGGCAUAACUAGCCUUCAUUUUAUUCAUUGCAUGUCCACAGUUCAGUACGUGGUUGUGAUUAAGUUACUUGUCUCUUUGUGGACACAAUGGACACUUAGG
rnacentral:lncRNA from 1 species